AUGAUGGGAGGGGGCCGGGCCAUAUACACUCAUAUGGGCCCGCCCCUAAGCUCUCUCCCUCUGCCGUUCCCCCCCCUCCGCCCCACGCAACCAGGUCAGGCCUCUCCGGUCUCCACUCCCCCUUCCCCCCAUUAUCCCCAAUGGGUCCGUGCCGUAACCCGCUCCCCCGGAGGGAACGCGUGCUCUGCGGAAAUGAGUCCCCUGGGAAACGCGAUCCGCUUCACUGGCGUUCCGCCCUUGCUUUGGUUCCUACGGCCUACAGAGCCGGAGGAAGGCGAUCCCGGGAAGGGGGGGGGGUGGUGUCCUCAGAGGGGUGGGGACGUGUCAGCUGUGUCUCCACGGAGGGCUGUGUGUCCCCCCCCUACAGGUGGAGCUGCUGCUGCUGCUGCUCGUGUACCCCCGUGGGCGCCCCCCCCCACCACCCAAAACGAAGGGGGGCUGCGGGGAUACCUGAGAGUAUUGGCUCGGGCGCCCGGCCCCCCCCGGCCCAAAGCGUGCAGCCGCUACCUGCGGCGUUUGGCUGCCCGGAGCCUGGGGGGGUUACGGGAGGGCUUUGGCACGAUGGGGAGCCCCGGAGGGGGGUUACGGCUUUGCCUCCGUUUGGAGCCCGACAACGCGAUGCCUCCACAUCCUGCCGGUGCUGCUGCAGGUGGGGGGGGGGGCUCAGGGCUGAUCGGUGCGGUUGGAGUCGGGGGGAGCAGAAUUAAGGCUCACCCUGCGCCCCUCCCGGUUUCCCCCCCCACACUCCGUCCCUUUCACCUGCUGCUUUUCCCUUUUUGUCUUGCUUUUCCCUUUCACUGCUGCUUUUCCCUUUCAUGCUGCUUUUCCCUUUCACUGCUGCUUUUCCCUUUCACUGCUGCUUUUCCCUUUCAGUCUUGCUUUUCCCUUUCAGUCUUGCUUUUCCCUUUCAGUCUUGCUUUUCCCUUUCAGUCUUGCUUUUCCCUUUCAGUCUUGCUUUUCCCUUUCACUGCUGCUCUUCCCUUUCACUGCUGCUCUUCCCUUUCACUGCUGCUCUUCCCUUUCACUGCUGCUUUUCCCUUUUAGUCUUGCUUUUCCCUUUCACUGCUGCUUUUCCCUUUUAGUCUUGCUUUUCCCUUUCACUGCUGCUUUUCCCUUUCACUGCUGCUUUUCCCUUUUAGUCUUGCUUUUCCCUUUCACUGCUGCUUUUCCCUUUUAGUCUUGCUUUUCUUUUUCACUCUUGCUUUUCCCUUUUAGUCUUGCUUUUCCCUUUCACUGCUGCUUUUCCCUUUUAGUC
rnacentral:lncRNA from 1 species